AUUGAACGCUGGCGGCAUGCUUUACACAUGCAAGUCGAACGGUAACAGGCCUUCGGGUGCUGACGAGUGGCGAACGGGUGAGUAAUGCAUCGGAACGUGCCCAAUCGUGGGGGAUAACGUAGCGAAAGUUACGCUAAUACCGCAUAAGCCCUGAGGGGGAAAGCAGGGGAUCGCAAGACCUUGCGCGAAUGGAGCGGCCGAUGUCAGAUUAGCUAGUUGGUGGGGUAAAGGCCUACCAAGGCGACGAUCUGUAGCGGGUCUGAGAGGAUGAUCCGCCACACUGGGACUGAGACACGGCCCAGACUCCUACGGGAGGCAGCAGUGGGGAAUUUUGGACAAUGGGCGCAAGCCUGAUCCAGCCAUGCCGCGUGCGGGACGAA
rnacentral:rRNA from 1 species